CCAGAUGAAGUUUCCGGCGGAGUUCGUGACGUAAGCGUUCCCAUUGAAAUCCACAGCCACGUCGUUCGCCACGUGGCGCUUGAUGGUUAUGACACCAGGGGUUUCGUCGUCGAGUAGAGACAGGAAGACGCGGCGGCGCGAUCGGAGGUCGUAUGCGGCGAGGGCAUUGAAGGGAGGAAGGGGCGCGGCAGAGUGAACGAGGGCGAGGAGGCGGUUGUGGAUUGAGUCGAUGGCGAGACCCAAAAUGGUGGCGUUUUCGGGAAGAGUUGGGUCGGAGAUAAGGGUUUCGACGACGGCGGCAUCGGAGACGGAGUGGAUUGU
rnacentral:lncRNA from 1 species